rnacentral:lncRNA from 1 species
UGAAGCAUUUAGCCCUAUGAGCAACACCUAUUAAAAUAGUUGUGUUAACGCAAUUCUCAAGGGGUAAAAAAAGAUUCUAGCAUUUAAGAAGUUUGAAACAAAUUGCUUCCUUGGGGAUAAACUAUAAUGCAGGAUAAUUACAAGAUACCACCCUCCUCCAUUGCCUUUCCUGAGGCAACCCCAAUGGUUUUUAUGUCCUUAUCUCGUUCAUUUAAACUAAUAGUUAUAUCUUCAGCUACUAAAUCAUUAA